rnacentral:rRNA from 1 species
AUGUUUGCUACCUCGCGUGGUGGUUCUCAAUUUUGGAAGGCUUUGGUGAAAGUGAGGCCCCUUUUUCAGGCUCACGUUAAGUUUGUAGUCGGAGACGGUUCCUCCAUUAGGUUUUGGCUUGAUUGGUGGUGUGGAGAUUCACCGCUCUCCGUGACCUUCCCCACCUUAUUUUCGUACUGCCCUAACCUGGACAUUUCUAUUGCGAAGCUGGCGGCUAAUGGUUGGGACCUGGCCUUUCGCCGAUCCCUUUCGCCUGUAGAGUUUGAAGAUUGGCAACGUCUUACUGCUUUCUUCCCCACACUCUCGACAAACUUGGAUUCGGUGAUAUGGCCUCACACUGCUUCUGGUCGCUUCUCGGUUAAAUCGCUCUAUUCUAAGCUUAUUGGUGGCUCCCCUACUAACAGAUUCUCUCAGGUCUGGAAGGCCAGGAUCCCUCCUAAAGUUAAGAUUUUCUUAUGGCAAGCUUUUAGGGGCCGGCUGCAUUCGGCUGACCAAAUUCGUAAGAGAAAUGGUCCUGGUUCACAGUUAUGUGCCUUAUGUGGUGGCUUGGAGGAUACGGCUCAUAUCUUCUUCCAUUGUGUCCUGGCUAAGUUGAUCUGGAGUUGCAUGAGAGAGUGGCUUCAUGUAGCCUGGGACCCUGCUUCGUUCUCUCAGCUCCGGGCUCUUGCUAAUACCCUGUCGGGUGUUACCAAACGUAUCUUUUGGGUGGGCCUGGGAGCACAGUGUUGGUCUCUCUGGACGACUAGGAACAAAUUUACUAUUGAACAUGUGUUUCUGGCUAAACCUGCUGAUUGCUUAUUUAAAUUGUGUGCUCUCUUGCAGCAGUGGAAAUCAUUGACUAAGGAGGAAUACCAAGAUGCGCUGUCUGCGCUGAUCUCUAAAGUUCGGGCCUCGGCGUCUAUUCUAUGCAGACAAGAGCAGGAUGCUUAG